rnacentral:rRNA from 1 species
UAGUCCACGCCCUAAACGAUGCUUACUCGAUAUCUGAUGAAUUUUGGGUGUCCAAGGGAAACCGUUAAGUAAGCCACCUGGGGAGUACGUUCGCAAGAAUGAAACUCAAAGGAAUUGACGGGGGCCCGCACAAGCGGUGGAGCAUGUGGUUUAAUUCGAUGAUACGCGAGGAACCUUACCAGGGCUUAAAUGCAUAUUGACAGGGCCAGAGAUGGCUUUUCCUUCGGGCAAUUUGCAAGGUGCUGCAUGGUUGUCGUCAGCUCGUGCCGUGAGGUGUCAGGUUAAGUCCCAUAACGAGCGCAACCCCUGCCGUUAGUUGCCAGCAUGUAAAGAUGGGGACUCUAACGGGACUGCCGGUGCAAACCGUGAGGAAGGUGGGGAUGACGUCAAAUCAUCACGGCCCUUACGUCCUGGGCCACACACGUGCUACAAUGGCCGGUACAGAGAGCAGCCAUGUCGUAAGGCAGCGCGAAUCUACAAAACCGGUCACAGUUCGGAUCGGGGUCUGCAACUCG